rnacentral:rRNA from 1 species
GUGGUGCAUGGUUGUCGUCAGCUCGUGUCGUGAGAUGUUGGGUUAAGUCCCGCAACGAGCGCAACCCCUAUCUUUAGUUGCCAGCACCUAGGGUGGGCACUCUAGAGAGACUGCCGAGGACAACUCGGAGGAAGGUGGGGAUGACGUCAAAUCAUCAUGCCCCUUAUGUUCAGGGCUACACACGUGCUACAAUGGGCGGUACAACGGGUUGCAAGCUCGCGAGAGCAAGCCAAUCCCUUAAAGCCGUUCUCAGUUCGGAUUGCAGGCUGAAACUCGCCUGCAUGAAGUCGGAGUUGCUAGUAAUCGCGGAUCAAAAUGCCGCGGUGAAUGCGUUCCCGGGUCU